CUCGUUAGAUCACCGAAGUUAAGCAUCAUUGGGCGCGGUCAGUACUUGGGUGGGUGACCACCUGGGAACACUGCGUGCCGUU